GGGUCCGCACAAGCGGUGGAGCAUGUGGUUUAAUUCGAUAAUACGCGAGGAACCUUACCUAGGCUAGAAUGCGAGUGACAUCCAGAGAGAUCUGGAGUUCUUCGGACACAAAGCAAGGUGCUGCAUGGUUGUCGUCAGCUCGUGCCGUGAGGUGUUGGGUUAAGUCCCGCAACGAGCGCAACCCCUGUUUUUAGUUGCCAGCAAGUAAUGUUGGGGACUCUAGAAAGACUGCCUGCGUAAGCAGAGAGGAAGGAGGGGACGACGUCAAAUCAGCAUGGCCCUUAUGCCUAGGGCUACACACGUGCUACAAUGGCGUAUACAAAGGGUAGCGAACCAGUGAUGGUAAGCC
rnacentral:rRNA from 1 species